UGAGUGCAUAUAAUAGCUGGGAAACUUGGAUGUGCUUUGAAUUUUGCUAGUACAGUUUUUAUUCAUGAAUGUGCUCUGAAUUAGAAAAAUGUGUAGAUAAAAAUGUAAUUUGAACUUGAAAUUUCUAAAUUUAAACUUGUGUUUCUAUUCUUAGUAAUAGGAUAAAUCACUAAAAAUAAAAAACACAGUUUCAUAUGUUUGCUCUUGUAUUUUGUGCCGUGGAGAAUUCUACCCCACAAUAAAUAUAAAAACAGAAGCUUAGACAAACGCACUCUUAUUUCAAAUCCAAUACACGGACUCACUGUACUCCUCCACUGAGUUCACCUCACCUACUCGCUCCUCCCUUGCUUUCUUUAAAAGGAGGCAGCCCAUUUUCUUAUACGAAGCUCCGAACCCAAGAAUCGUUUUAGUUCGCUGUGAAAAGCUUAAUUCGGAAGCGUUAGGAUCCAUGAGAUCCGUUGAGGAGUCCGAAUCUAUGACGGGCAACUCAUCAGCUUCAUCGGCUAUUGAUUUCCCCACAUUGUGCCAUCGAUUGAAGAUCACAAAACUGAAGGGAUGGAUCAACCAUGGGAUAAAGGGUCCUGAAUCAAUUGCUGACCAUAUGUACAGUAUGUCAUUGAUGGCUCUGAUUGCUGAUGAUCGUUUUAGUUCGCUGUGAAAAGCUGAACUGAGAAAGGUUAAACAGUUUAUAUCAUGAGAAGACUUGUGUUUUUCUUUCUUUGUGUGGUUUUUCAAGAAAGUCAAUGUGUGUAUUUACACUCUUGCAUCAUGUAAUUCAAAUUUGUAGACUGAAGGGCAGAAUAGACCAAUUUAUAAAUGAUUUAACUACAUAAAUGUUAUGAUUAAUUGGAAACAAAUGGUUUGAUGCCAUGCUAAGAUACAAGGGAAGAUUAUUGGGCUUUGAUCAAACAGGAAAGUCUUGGGUUAUCAAUCAGAAGAGAGAAGCCAGAGAUUCAAUUUGCUAUUAGACUAGAUCAUUUUUUUUGUCUUUUGAGGAGAAUAGAGGCAGGAUGGUGUUGGAUAUCUGAUUAACUCUACUUGUUGAUACCUUAUCUAGCACCCAUAUAAUUUACAGGUCCUUAAAAAAGUCACCUAAUGUAUUCCUGUAGUUUUCAUUCUUAAAACAAGCCAUUGUUGCAAAUUUACCACUUAAAUUAGCUUUGAGCGACACUUGGUUGCCUUAUAUUUUGGACAGAGUAGACUGGUAGAAAAAGAUGGUAUUAUGUUGGAUUCUUUUAAUUGAUCAAUAUGGUUGAUAAAUGAUAUGUUAUUUCCAUUGAUACAGGUUCAUUUAUGCUCUAAUGGAAAUUUACAUGAUUCUUUGAGAAUGUAUAGGGGAUGGAUUUAGUGGUGGUAUGGGCCUAUGUGGGGGCGUGGGGUUAUGGUAUUUUGCGUAAGCAAAAUCAUGUCUUGAAUCCAUAAUGUUUUUUUUUUUUUUUGAAAAUAGCUCCUUGCUGCAUAAAUGGCUCGAUGUUUUACUUGUACUGCUUCAGCCUUGGCAUGUCAUCAAUAGAUCACCACCUCAGGAAAAGAAAUGGACUAAAUUAUUGGAGAAUAGAUCUCUCACUUAAAACUGAAUUUUGGCUAAAAAUUAGGAGAGCAGAUAUCAAUGUGUUUCAAGAGCACAUUUGACACUGUUAAUUUGUCAAUAUUUGACUCUUGUCAGGCCAUAAAAGUAAAACAUACAAGUUGAUGCUCCAAAGCUAUAAUAGUCCACAGAGCAUACCCAAGCUUACACCUAAUGAGUAAGAGAACAAUGUGUGUCUGCAAAUAUUUGUUUUGCAGUCCGAAAUCAGAAUCGUGUAUUGUUGAUAAUUGUAGAAUGGGAGAAGAGCCCUACAACAACAACAGCAUUGAUUGGCGAUUCUAUUCCAUGUUUGUAAUAGUUCUCUUUUAUAUAUGUAAUUGAGCUUAUUGUGUUUUACUUUUUGCAAAAUAUGCACAUAUAUUUUGAUGGAGUUUUGAAUUUUGAGUUGGGAUUUGGACUUUGAUAGCUAUUGUUGGAGAUAUAACACCAUCAAAUGGUGUGCCUAAACAAGAAAAGAGUAGGCUGGAGCAAGCGGCUUUAAAUGAAAUGUGUUGAGUUCUUGGUGGACUGAGGGUUGCUCAAAUACUGAAUCUUGCUAUCUUGACUUUUAGCAGUUUCAGCUUUGAGUUUUCUGGAACUAAAUAUUUUCAUUUUUUCAGCUGAAGAGAUCAAAGAGUUAUGGGCGGAGUAUGAAAACAAUGCUUCCUUGGAGGCCAACCUUGUCGAAGACUUUGACAAAGUUUGAAUUUUUGAAUGAUGCUAUAAAGAAACAGGUUGAGAUGAUUUUGCGAGCAUUGGAAUAUGAAAUGGGUGGGUUAUCUGACGAAUUUAAAUGUUCCGCUUCCAAGGAAUUCUCAUUCGAUGUCAUGUUUUCACAGAACAUGGGAAGGUGUUGGAUGAGUGUUUCUUUUCAACAGCAGGAAAAUUUCAAACUGUGAUAGGAAAGAGCUGGGCAGCUGAGAUUUCUUCAAGAAGAAACUCUAUUCUGGCCAGGAAGCAAAACUGAUCUCCUCGACCAUCCACUCUUUUUUUAUCCUUCCCUUUCAGGUUGAGACAUUCCCUUGGCUACUGCCGUCUGUCUAACUGAUACGCUCUCUUUGCAGCACCUGGUUUGGUCGUUGAGUAUGGAAGGAUGACUGAUUAGAUUGAUUCCAGAGGUAGCCGAAGAGGUUCAUUCCCGAGACGUCACAGGGUUUGUCAUAGGCAACUAACGACCAAAGAGUUCUAAUUCCAGAAUUUAGUGUAACGACUGUUGUAUCGAGUCAUGCUUAAAUUUCAAAGGAAAGUGUAAUAAUAUUUUUGUUUUCUUGUGAAAAGUUCAGUAAGGGGUUGCAAUUUUCAUUGAUGUCAUCUGGCCAACUAAAGCAGCAAUGAAACUCUUCAGAUGUUAGCUUGUGAUGUAUGCAUGACUGUUUCCUUGACGAAACAUCAAUAAGGCUGUUAUGAUCA